UACAGAGGGUGCAAGCGUUAAUCGGAAUUACUGGGCGUAAAGCGCACGUAGGUGGCUGGGUAAGUUGGAUGUGAAAUCCCCGGGCUUAACUUGGGAAUUGCAUUCAAGACUGCCUUGCUAGAGUGUGGAAGAGGGAGCGGAAUUCCAGGUGUAGCGGUGAAAUGCGUAGAUAUCAGGAGGAACACCGGUGGCGAAGGCGGGUCUCUGGGCCGUUACUGACGCUGAGGAGCGAAAGCGUGGGGAGCAAACAGG
rnacentral:rRNA from 1 species